CGAACGGGUGAGUAACACGUGAGCAACCUACCCUCAACUUCGGGAUAAGCCUCGGAAACGGGGUCUAAUACCGGAUAUCACUUCCUGCCUCAUGGUGGGGGGUUGAAAGUUCUGGCGGUUGGGGAUGGGCUCGCGGCCUAUCAGCUUGUUGGUGGGGUAAUGGCCUACCAAGGCGUCGACGGGUAGCCGGCCUGAGAGGGCGACCGGCCACACUGGGACUGAGACACGGCCCAGACUCCUACGGGAGGCAGCAGUGGGGAAUAUUGCGCAAUGGACGAAAGUCUGACGCAGCAACGCCGCGUGAGGGAUGACGGCCUUCGGGUUGUAAACCUCUUUCAGCAGGGACGAAGCGAGAGUGACGGUACCUGCAGAAGAAGGACCGGCCAACUACGUGCCAGCAGCCGCGGUAAUACGUAGGGUCCGAGCGUUGUCCGGAAUUAUUGGGCGUAAAGGGCUCGUAGGCGGUUCGUCACGUCGGGAGUGAAAACUCGGAGCUCAACUCCGAGCCUGCUUCCGAUACGGGCAGACUAGAGGUAGGCAGGGGAGAGCGGAACUCCUGGUGUAGCGGUGGAAUGCGCAGAUAUCAGGAAGAACACCGGUGGCGAAGGCGGCUCUCUGGGCCUUACCUGACGCUGAGGAGCGAAAGCGUGGGUAGCGAACAGGAUUAGAUACCCUGGUAGUCCACGCCGUAAACGUUGGGCGCUAGGUGUGGGGGACAUUCCACGUCCUCCGUGCCGCAGCUAACGCAUUAAGCGCCCCGCCUGGGGAGUACGGCCGCAAGGCUAAAACUCAAAGGAAUUGACGGGGGCCCGCACAAGCGGCGGAGCAUGCGGAUUAAUUCGAUGCAACGCGAAGAACCUUACCUGGGUUUGACAUAUAGGGAAAUCUCACAGAGAUGUGAGGUCCGUAAGGGUCCUAUACAGGUGGUGCAUGGCUGUCGUCAGCUCGUGUCGUGAGAUGUUGGGUUAAGUCCCGCAACGAGCGCAACCCUCGUCCUAUGUUGCCAGCACGUUAUGGUGGGGACUCAUAGGAGACUGCCGGGGUCAACUCGGAGGAAGGUGGGGAUGACGUCAAGUCAUCAUGCCCCUUAUGUCCAGGGCUUCACGCAUGCUACAAUGGCCGGUACAAAGGGCUGCGAAACUGCAAAGUGGAGCGAAUCCCAAAAAGCCGGUCUCAGUUCGGAUUGGGGUCUGCAACUCGACCCCAUGAAGUCGGAGUCGCUAGUAAUCGCAGAUCAGCAACGCUGCGGUGAAUACGUUCCCGGGCCUUGUACACACCGCCCGUCACGUCAUGAAAGUCGGCAACACC
rnacentral:rRNA from 1 species